CGGACGGGUAAGUAAUGUCUGGGAAACUGCCUGAUGGAGGGGGAUAACUGCUGGAAACGGUAGCUAAUACCGCAUAACGUCGCAAGACCAAAGAGGGGGACCUUCGGGCCUCUUGCCAUCGGAUGUGCCCAGAUGGGAUUAGCUAGUAGGUGGGGUAACGGCUCACCUAGGCGACGAUCCCUAGCUGGUCUGAGAGGAUGACCAGCCACACUGGAACUGAGACACGGUCCAG
rnacentral:rRNA from 1 species